GACAGGUCCACAGAUCAAAAUGGCGGAACAAGGCUACAGUCAGCUCAGAGAGAACAUUUCUAUAGAAGGCAAGGAUUUUUCCUUCUUCAACCUUUCUGCCCUCAACGACAGUCGCUAUGACAAGCUGCCAUUUUCUAUACGAGUGUUGCUGGAAUCGGCCAUCCGUAACUGUGACGGUUUCCAGGUCAAAAAAGGAGACGUGGACAAUAUCCUUAACUGGGAGAAAAAUCAGGGAAAGAAUGUGGAAAUACCCUUCAAACCCUCCAGGGUGAUACUGCAGGAUUUCACAGGCGUACCAGCUAUAGUGGACUUCGCAGCGAUGCGUGACGCUGUCAAGCGACUCGACGGUGACCCCAACAAAAUCAACCCUGUGUGUCCAGUCGACCUUGUCAUUGACCAUUCAAUCCAAGUGGAUGUUGCCCGAAGUCUGUUGAAUUCUCCCAACCCUGGCGGAGGUCAAAGGUCAGGUACAGCCUCUUGCUCGCAGUGUUCUCUACUUAAAAGACAGACCUAUACUUGUCCUGGACAACAGAGGGCAGGUGUUGACGCAUUAGAAAAAAAUCAAGAGCUGGAAUUUGAAAGAAACGUGGAGCGCUUUGUCUUCCUCAAGUGGGGAGCCAAGGCCUUAGAAAAUAUGGUGAUUGUCCCCCCUGGUUCAGGAAUUGUCCACCAGGUGAACCUGGAAUAUUUGGCUAAAGUGGUGUUUGAUUCUGACAAUAUUCUCUACCCAGACAGUCUGGUGGGUACCGAUUCUCACACCACGAUGAUCAACGGGCUCGGUAUAGUCGGCUGGGGUGUAGGAGGGAUAGAGGCUGAAGCGGUUAUGUUAGGACAAGCCAUCAGUAUGGUCCUACCACAGGUGGUCGGAUACAGACUGACCGGGGUCGUCAACCCUCUGGUCACCUCGACUGAUGUUGUACUGACCAUCACAAAGAACCUGAGACAGAUUGGGGUUGUUGGAAAGUUUGUGGAGUUUUUCGGGCCCGGUGUGGAGCAUCUGUCCAUCGCUGACCGUGCUACGAUCUCCAACAUGUGUCCCGAGUAUGGGGCCACCAUCGGGUUCUUCCCUGUGGACGAGAAAAGUCUGGACUAUCUACAACAGACAGGUCGUCAUAGUGACAAGAUACAACAAAUAGAGAAGUACCUCCGUGCUGUGCAUAUGUUCCGUAACUAUAGCGACCAGUCCGAGGAUCCUGUUUUCUCACAGAUUGUGGAGCUUGACCUGUCCACCAUUGUGUCCUGCUGUUCUGGUCCUAAGCGACCCCAUGACAAGGUAGCUGUCACCGACAUGAAAACAGACUUCAAAGCUUGUCUCAACAACAAAGUCGGCUUCAAGGGUUUUGCCAUUCCCUCAGACCGCCAGUCUGUCACUGCACCGAUCGUGUUUGACAACCAAGAGUACACAAUGUCACAUGGCUCUGUCGUCAUAGCGGCCAUCACUAGUUGUACGAACACGAGCAACCCGUCAGUCAUGUUGGGGGCCGGACUCCUGGCGAAGAAAGCGGUGGAGGCAGGACUCAGCGUUAGUCCAUACAUCAAGACAAGUCUGUCGCCGGGCAGUGGGGUCGUCACCUACUACCUCAGAGAAAGUGGCGUCACACCCUACCUGGAGAAACUUGGAUUUGACAUCGUUGGUUACGGCUGUAUGACCUGUAUUGGUAACAGUGGUCCCCUACCCGAGCCUGUAUCAGAGGCCAUAGAAAAGAAUGAUUUGGUAGCUUGUGGCGUGCUCUCAGGGAAUCGUAACUUUGAGGGGCGGAUCCAUCCACUAACGAGGGCAAACUACCUGGCUUCACCGCCCCUUGUCAUAGCCUACGCACUUGCCGGCACCGUCCUCAUUGACUUUGAAACACAACCCCUAGGAAAAAAUGGUGAAGGAAAGGACGUGUUUCUCCGGGAUAUCUGGCCGACACGAAAAGAAAUCCAGGAAGUGGAACAGCAGUUCGUGGUUCCUGCCAUGUUUACAGAUGUUUAUUCACGAAUUACUGCUGGGAAUAAGAGAUGGAAUGACCUUGAGGCCCCGUCAGAGAUGUUGUACCCCUGGGAUCCAAAAUCCACCUACAUCAAGUCUCCACCAUUCUUUGAGACUAUGACCAAAGAACUGCCCACCCAGACAGGAUUAAAAGAUGCAUGUGUGUUGCUGAACCUAGGGGACUCCGUGACAACAGAUCACAUUUCUCCUGCGGGGAGUAUCGCCCGUAACAGUCCUGCCGCACGCUACCUGGGAUCUGGAGGUUUAACUCCCAGACAGUUCAACUCUUAUGGAUCCCGACGUGGCAAUGAUGCCGUGAUGACACGUGGAACGUUCGCUAACAUCCGAUUGGUCAAUAAAUUUGUUUCCAAACCGGGACCAAGGACAGCUUAUCUACCCAAUGGAGAAGAGAUGGACAUCUUUGACGCAGCAGAGCGGUAUCGCAGUGAAGGACAACAAGUGAUUGUACUAGCUGGGAAGGAUUAUGGGUCAGGAUCAUCACGUGAUUGGGCUGCUAAAGGUCCCUGGAUGUUGGGUAUUAAGGCUGUGAUCGCGGAGAGCUACGAGAGGAUUCAUCGUAGUAAUUUGGUCGGUAUGGGAAUCAUACCGUUCCAGUACCUGCCUGGUCAGACUGCCGAGAGCCUUGGACUGACCGGAAAGGAACGCUUCUCUAUCGACCUUCCAGACGACAUUAAAGCUGGUCAGGUCAUGACUAUAAAGUUAAGUGACGGACGCACCUUCAGUGUUUGCUGUCGUUUUGACACAGAUGUGGAGCUUACCUACUUCAGACAUGGUGGCAUUCUAAACUACAUGAUACGACAAAUGUUGUAACAGUGCUGAUUAUAACAUAGGUCUCCAUGGUGAUGUGUGAUGAUCAUGAUAACACAGGUCCCCAUGGUGAUAUGUGAUGAUAACAUGGGUCUCCAUGGUGAUGUGUGAUCAUACGUAGGUCUCCAUGGUGAUAUGUGAUCAUACGUAGGUCUCCAUGGUGAUAUGAGAUCAUAACAUAGGUCUCCAUGGUGAUAUGUGAUCAUAACAUAGGUCUCCAUGGUGAUAUGAAAUAAUUACAGGUCUCCAUGGUGAUAUGUGAUCAUACGUAGGUCUCCAUGGUGAUCUGUGAUGAUACAGAGGUGUCAAUGGCGAUAUGUGAUCAUACAGAGGUGUCAAUGGUGAUAUGGGUCAUAACAGUUCUCCAUGUUGAUAUGAAAUAAUUACAGGUCUCCAUGGUGAUAUGUGAUCAUACGUAGGUCUCCAUGGUGAUCUGUGAUCAUACAGAGGUGUCAAUGGCGGCAUGCCAUAUGAUUGGAUGUCUAAAGCAAUAAUGAAUAAACACUUAUCUCAUGUUGUCAUGGUUACCAUAUUUAUCAUAAAUCCUUUUAGACUAGUAACCAUGGCAACAGUAGAAACAGUGUUUAUUCUAUGGAUAUUUGUGAUAAAGAUAAAAAGGUGUUGAAGUAGAGAAGUAUAUAUUUCUGUGUGGUUCUUGUGUGAGAGUCGGGGAGAAAAUAGUUGUAGUAAAAGAAGAGAUAUAUGUCGAUACAUGUUUCGCGUAACCACCUCAUUUUAUAUAAAAUUUGUUCAUAAAUAAUGUUUUAUUUACAUUUUUAUUUUGGGUAAGUGGGUAUGUGCUGUAGGAAAAUGUUUGUAAGUUUGUAUUUUGAUAGUGGAAGUCAGUUCCUGAUAUAAACCAGUGACAAGCCUGUGUUCACGUAUAAGCCCACCCCAUUCUGUGACAGAUUUGGCUUGGGCCGUACUUAUACAUACUGCAGAUCACUUGCAUUUUUUGAGUUCAAUAUUUUCAUUUUAAUUUGUGGGUCGUGAAUUUAAAUACCUCAAAAAUAUUUACUCUUGACAAUUGCAAAAACAGAUUUUCAGGAAAAUUGAGUGAUUUGAGUAGAAUGAAAUACUGUACUGUAACAUUUCUCUAUUUAUUUGAAGAAGCUGUGGGAACUGUAACCCAUAUCUGUAUUGAUUUUCAAAUUUAGAAUUUUAUUUAUUUCAAAUUUAUCAAAGUUUUUAUCAAACUUGAGAUACCUGGUACCUGAAAUUUGCAAAAUAAAAAAGAAACAUUAUAGGGUCUUUGAGGUACAGUUCCUGUAGCCAUAUGUGAAAAUAGCACAGUAAGAGUGUAACUGUGCACAUAAUUCACGGGAGAUACAGCUACAUAUGUGUGUAGUGAAUGAUUAACGGGAGAUACAGCUACAUAUGUGUGUAGUGACUGAUUAACGGGAGAUACAGCUGCUACAUAUGUGUGUAGUGACUGAUUAACAGGAGAUACAGCUACAUAUGUGUGUAGCCACUGAUUAACGGGAGAUACAGCAAUGUGUGUAGCGACACUGCGGACAGUUCCUGGACUGGACUAUUAAGAACUAGUCUCCCUGGUUACAAGAGAGAUACAGCUAUGUAGUGACAUUUCAGACAGUUCCUGGGCCCAUAUUAAUGAAACCAUGCUCAAACUUGUAUACUUCGCUAAAACCCAUAUUUUUGUUUCAGUGAUAAAUUGAGAACAAAAUACAUUUUUCUGAGGAUUAGAAAAUACAUUGAAGAGACUUCAAACCGAAUAUUGUUUUAAGGUUACACAGUACUUUCUGACCGUAUCACUUGAUUUAAGUGUAGACAUGCUUGAGCAUGAGAACAGUUCAUGAAUACGGGCCCUGGACUGUUAGGUCUUUGUCUGUGUAUGGUUAGGUCCUUGUCUGUAUCGUUUGUUCAGGCCAGAAUCAGUACGGAUCUUUCCUGGCAGUCUAGAUCAAUAUGUCAGCCAUAUGAAGAUGGAGACUUAUCAAGGUUGCAACUUUUCAAUCAUUGAUGUUUGCUCAAGUUUUGACAAAUCACAUAAUUAUACUCAAGAUUUAAGGAUAUUUAAUCAGAGAAAAUCCUGUAUAUGUAUUUAUAGAUUUAGUACUUUAGAUCUGGGCCAAUCAAAGCUGUGUUAGCUUAACCACAUAUUAACACAAAACUUUUAGGUAUAUUCAACAUAUGUUUUCUAAAUUAAUGAAAUUCAAAUAAAAAUUGUAUGUAUAGAGAUUCAAAAUUAAGCUCUCUGUUUCUCGGGAGUUAAUCAAAGAAUAUACCAUUAAGAAUAGGUAGACAAAAAACAACAACAUUUUCUGAAGAUAUUUAUGUUGUAUGAAAAGUAUUGAUUGUCAAAAAUAAUAUAUACAUAUAACUUGGAUAUUUUCAUAGGGCCACAGUGGCCGACUCAGCCCGAGUGGUUAAGGCACAUAGGGGCCACAGUGGCCGACUCAGCCCGAGUGGUUAAGGCACAUAGGGUCCACAGUGGCCGACUCAGCCCGAGUGGUUAAGGCACAUAGGGGCCACAGUGGCCAACUCAGCCCGGGUGGUUAAGGCACAUAGAGGCCACAGUGGCCGACUCAGCCCGAGUGGUUAAGGCACAUAGGGCCACAGUGGCCGACUCAGCCCGAGUGAUUAAGGCACAUAGGGUCCACAGUGGCCGACUCAUCCCGAGUGGUUAAGGCACAUAGGGUCCACAGUGGCCGACUCAUCCCGAGUGGUUAAGGCACAUAGGGUCCACAGUGGCCGACUCAGCCCGAGGGGUUAAGGCACAUAGGGGCCACAGUGGCCAACUCAGCCCGGGGGGUUAAGGCACAUAGAGGCCACAGUGGCCGACUCAGCCCGAGCGGUUAAGGCACAUAUGGGCCACAGUGGCCGAGUCAGCCCGGGUGGUUAAGGCACAUAGGGGCCACAGUGGCCCCCUCAGCCCGAGUGGUUAAGGCACAUAGGGCCACAGUGGCCGACUCAGCCCGAGUGAUUAAGGCACAUAGGGGACACAGUGGCCGACUCAGCCCGAGUGGUUAAAGCACAUAGGGGCCACAGUGGCCGACUCAGCCCGAGUGAUUAAGGCACAUAGGGGCCACAGUGGCGGACUCAGCCCGAGUGGUUAAGGCACAUAGGGGCCACAGUGGCCCACUCAGCCCGAGUGGUUAAGGCACAUAUGGGCCACAGUGGCCGACUCAGCCCGAGUGGUUAAGGCACAUAGGGGCCACAGUGGCCGACUCAGCCCGAGUGGUUAAGGCACAUAGGGGCCACAGUGGCCGAGUCAGCCCGAGUGGUUAAGGCACAUAGGGGCCACAGUGGCCGAGUCAGCCCGAGUGGUUAAGGCACAUAGGGGCCACAGUGGCCGACUCAGCCCGAGUGAUUAAGGCAUCUGACAUUCUGCUACCACGUCCUUAAAUGACCAUUGCUGUUUAUAGGACAUAAAACACAAACAAGUUAAAAGAUUAAGUAGAUAUUGUACAUACUAUGGUACAUUUUAACCCUUUCACCCCUAUGUAACUUUAGUAGACAUUACCGUGCAUUGAUAUGGAUGAGUCCAUUAUGGUCUACAGUGGUGAAAGUGUUAGAUACUCGACACUAUAUACUGUGGUAGACUUCCUUUAUUGUACCCAGUUACUACAGUACAGAUGUACUAACUUUUAUAUUCUAACAGAUAACUCCAUGUAUAGGUCCAUUAAGUGAAUUAUUAACGGCCACAAUGUAUCCUUAAGUUAAGAUGAAAAAUACAUUUACAUGAAUUUGAAGCUUGAUGUUUAGAUAAGUUAAAUUUUUGAAUCUUAUUGCUGUUUUAGACAUUUUGAGAGAAAGACUUGUAAGAUAAGCAAGAUUUAAAAACAUCCAAUGUUGUAUGAGGAUUGACUUUGUUCUUUGUCUUUAAUACUCCUGGUACCAAAUAUCUGGCAAUGAGACCAUGCCUGGUAAUAAGCCCACCGAUCCUCUUCAGGGUUAUCAAAUUGUCAAUAUCUUUUCAAUAAGCCCAUCCCCAACUUCUGAUUCCACAUUUCAUAAUGGCCCCCUGUGGUAAUUGAAGAAUUAUUAUGUAUCCAGAAAAAAAACAAAAAUUGAAACCUACUGUCACUAUAUAUGAAUAUAUUUUAUUUUAUUUUUUUCUUUAUUCAAUGCCUUUGUGUUACACCUUGAAAGUCUGAAUUUAAUUUGUUUUGAAAUUUGAGAGAAUUGGAAAAUGAAAAUGAGAGAUACAGGUCCUGUUGACCUCUUUUUAAGCAGAGUGUGUCUGUGUAUGGAAAUAAUAGUGGUUUGUGUGAUUGAAAAGUUGAAUUAAUGCAUUAUGACAUUUGUUAUCUCCCCUUGGCAACAUCAAGAGCCAUUCUUCACGGGUACUAGCCUCGUCUGUCAAUACACCUUUAAUAUAAUCACUAUUUUAUAGGUGUAUUGACAGAUGAGGCUAUUACCUGUGCUUUAACAGUUAAGGAAAAUUUGUCAAACGUUUUAAAUAAGUUGUUAAAAACUAAAAUCUAAGCAAAAAUGUAAGUGUGUUUACUUGUAUAACGUUAAUUUUAUAUUAGUAGUAAACAAAUAUGUAUUUUUAAUCAUGACUAUUAAAUAUGACCAACAACAUUUCUUUACUGAUUGUAGCUCUGACAGCAAAAGGGAAAAACUACAGUUACUUCUCCUAGUUACCCCAGCCAAUGUGGUGAUCAUUGUCAAUCUACAGUUACUUCUCCUAGUUAUACCAGCCAAUGUGGUGAUCAUUGUCAAACUACAGUUACUUCUCCUAGUUACACCAGCCAAUGUGGUGAUCAUUGUCAAACUUCAGUCUAAGUCUCUAAUAGUUUUGUUACUUAAAAAAACAAAUGCACAUUUUACGUCAAAUCCUGCAAACUGAAUGUAUUUUUCAUCUUAUUUUUGUCUACAUGAUGUGUUUGGCUGUGAUAAGUCACAGGAAUUACAAUCAAGAUCGUCAGGCAUUACUGUACAGCACCAUGAAUUUGUGAUCAAAUAUUUUGUUGUACUUGAAUUUUUUUUUGACGUCUUUUAAUUGAGUGAUGGAGUAUACACUUUCGCCUUGGAUAAAACCUUGGCACAAGGACAAAAUAAGUCUUGCAAGACCAUUAUCAAUAUCCUCUACCUCUGGUCUGGUUGUAAGGAGAGCUGCUCAAGUCACUGAUAUAAGUAACAUUGGUUACUUAUUACUAUAAUGACAUUUUGAAAACUGGAAAAAAUGCUGAAUUAUGUUGAGGAUUUAUGAUUUCUUCAUAUUCACAUUUAUUAUUAAAUUUCGAAAAGAAAAAUGCAGUCUGUAACAAUUUAUAUAUGAGAGAUAUUAAUGAUGAUUGUUAAGUGGUCUGCAGUAAUCAAGCUAUACAUAUCUACAGUUAAAUAUGUUUACAAUCAGUAGUCAAUCAUGUGUUCCGUCGUUUAUAAUCAACAAUCAAGCUUAUGUUGUUUAUAAUCAACAGUCAAGCUUAUGUUGUUUAUAAUCAACAAUCAAGCUUAUGUUCUGUUGUUUAUAAUCAAAAGUCAAGCUUGUGUUCCGUUGUUUAUUUAUCAGUUGUCAAGCUUAUGGUCCCCUUAUGAAUUCCCAGGACAUGUAAAGAUAAACCGUUACUAUUGGACACAAUGUGGGGAGAAUGUCAAAAUAUACAGGUUCUACUGUAUAAGUCUUUAUUUUACAAAACUAGGACAUUAUUUUAUGAAACUAAAGUCCAUUUUGUAAAAGUGAGAUGGGGGAAAAAGAUUAAAUGUUUUUUGUUUUGUUUUUUGUUCUGCAUGUUGCCUGAAAUUUGAACUCAUUGCUUCUUGGACAUAUUGACUUGGGUUCCUUUGUUAUAAACACGGUUCACUGAAGUUUGAUAUGCCCACAUGUCGUAUUGUACAAUUUGUGUAAUUGGAGGAUGAUUUACGUGGAAUGAGUGUCACUUAAACAUGUAUAGUGUGCUAGCUACUGCAAAAUCUAUUUAAAUAAAAAUUAAUUAAUUAUAAA
rnacentral:misc_RNA from 1 species